rnacentral:rRNA from 1 species
UACGAAGGGGGCUAGCGUUGCUCGGAAUCACUGGGCGUAAAGCGCACGUAGGCGGAUUGUUAAGUCAGGGGUGAAAUCCUGGAGCUCAACUCCAGAACUGCCUUUGAUACUGGCGAUCUCGAGUCCGGGAGAGGUGAGUGGAACUGCGAGUGUAGAGGUGAAAUUCGUAGAUAUUCGCAAGAACACCAGUGGCGAAGGCGGCUCACUGGCCCGGUACUGACGCUGAGGUGCGAAAAGCGUGGGGGAGCAAACAGGG